rnacentral:misc_RNA from 1 species
UGUAAAACUCAAUUUAUCUACUGAGAGAAAGUAUGUUGAGUAGAGACACCCUUGUCCGGAUCAAAAGCUUGAACAACAUUUCCAAUCCAUUUUCAAGAUCCUCAAUGCUACUCUCCAAAUUCUCCAGAUUCUUUUGCGCAAAUUCAAAACUUUCCACUUCCUCUUCAUGUCCAGAAACAUGAUCCAGCAAGCUGUUGAGUGCAGUGUCAACUUUCUCCAACUCAGUUAGCUUUUCCCUUUG